AACGUAGGAGACAAACGUUAUCCGGAGUUACUGGGCGUAAAGGGCGUGUAGGUGGUUUCGUAAGUCUGGCGUGAAAUUUUUCGGCUUAACCGGGAAAGGUCGUCGGAUACUGCGGAACUAGAGGACGGUAGAGGCGUGUGGAAUUCCAGGUGUAGCGGUGAAAUGCGUAGAUAUCUGGAGGAACACCGGUGGCGAAGGCGGCAUCCUGGACCGGCAUUGACGCUGAGGCGCGAAAGCCAGGGGAGCAAACAGG
rnacentral:rRNA from 1 species